GGAUGUAGGGAGUAUGAGGGGAGUUCUAGGGAAAGGAUGUAUUGUGGGAAGAGAAGGACAAGUUCUGCUAAUCACAAGAUCUACAAGAUCUUCUUUCUCGAGUACUACAACCAACUCAUCCACUUCCACGCAUGCAGGACUACCCUUAAUUCUUCGAUACCCUAGACUCGAAGCUACAUGCUGAACUAUACCCUUGACUCGAGGCUACAUGCUAUACUAUAAUCUAAACUCGAGGCUACAUGCUGAAACAUAGCCUAUACAAACAAAGGCUACAUGCUGAACUAUGCCCUAGACUCGAGGAUACAUGCUGAAUUAUAUUCUAGACUUGAGACUACAUGUUAAACUAUAUCCUUGACUCGAGGCUACAUGCUAAACUAUAUCUUUGAAUCGAGGCUACGUGCUGAGCUAUAUUCUAAACAAGAGGCUACAUGCUGAACUAUAUUCUAGACUAGAGGCUACAUGCUGAACUAUAUCCUAGACUCGAGGCUACAUGCUGAAUUAUAUCCUAGACUCGAGGCUACAAGCUGAAUUAUAUACUAGACUUGAGGCUACAUGCUGAAAAUUACAUAUUGUUUAUCCUAGACUCGAGUCUAAGAUCUGAACUAUAUUCUAGACUCGAGGCUAAAUGUUGAAGUAACCAAUUCCUAAUCCUAGACUCAAGUUACAUACUGAAUUUUAUCAAAUCCAAUUAUGAAAACCAAAUCCUGCAAGUUUAGAUUAUUUGUAAAUUUGUUUACUUAUUUUAUACACACACAUAUAUAUAUAUAUGCACUUUAGAACAGUUUACAAUAUCAAUGUACAAUACAAACAUAUACUCUAAAUGUGAAUUGUAAAAAUAUAGUUUUGACAACUAGUUAAUGAUUUUUAAUAAUGUGUACAUUUAUAUAAGUAUAGUUAAUUCCGACAAAUUGAUGUCAUUAAUUAAUUAAAAUAACAGAUAUAGGACACUAGAUGUCGUCUUUUCAAGAUUUAUAAGUAUUUCAUUCGCAAUAACCCUAAGAAAAAAGACCAAAGGAGUUACGCGUAGUCGGCGUAGAAUAGGCUCUUUCUCUGUCUUUUUAAAAAUCACAAUAAUACAGUUACAGAUAAACAAUACUUGAGUAGAAAAUUAUAGAACAUUAUCAAUGUGUCUCUUUAAUUGAUGGCUUUGUUUGUCUAAAAUUUUCUCAUGUUUUAUUCUAACCCGACACAUAGAAUUCCUUCUGUUACUCCUGUUACUUUUGUCAUACUGUACUGUACAGUGUACGUGCAUUGUAUAUGUAUUUAUGUAAAUGAGAAUAGUUAUAUUACUCUUAGAUAUGAUAAUUUGAUUUGUACAUACAUAUAUAAUAUAUAUGUGUUAUCCAGGGUUACUUAUAAAGAAUGAGACUUAAAAGACGACUUUGCAGAUUUUCUGUUAACAUGGUUGAAAGCUAAGGUUUGCAGCAAAAAAGAAAAAUCAUAUCGCGAAAAUUUUCGCAUUUUUUGCAUAUCGCUCGCGAAAAAUGCGAAAAUGCUCGUUUUUUUCGCAAAGUUUCGCUUCAAUCUGUAUGCGAAAAAAUUAUAAGAAAUUACAAAAAAGGGGCUUCGUUUUUGCAUUUUUCGCUUCAUGUAAUUUCGCGAAAAAAUGCGAAAUUUCGCGAAAAAAUUUGCGAAAUGCGAACGAAAUUUUUUUCCAUUUUUUUCCAUUUUGUUCGCUGCAAACCCUACUGAAACCCCAAAUAAAACUGUACACUUUUUACCCCGCAUCAAUUAUUACAAAUAUUUCAGAUUAUGUUUAAAUUAAAUUAAUUAAUUAUUUAACAUUAAAGUCUCAUUCUUUGUGGGUGACCCUGCAAUGCAGUGUAUACUCACCAAAAGAACCUUGCACUCGACAGCACUUUAGAUAAUUGUAAAUUGUAACCAUGUUUUAAAUAAAUGCAUUUCUAUUGAAAUAUAUCAAAAAUUUGA